AUUGAACGCUGGCGGCAUGCCUUACACAUGCAAGUCGAACGGCAACAGGUCUUCGGAUGCUGACGAGUGGCGAACGGGUGAGUAAUACAUCGGAACGUGCCUAGUAGUGGGGGAUAACUACUCGAAAGAGUGGCUAAUACCGCAUGAGAUCUACGGAUGAAAGCAGGGGAUCGCAAGACCUUGUGCUACUAGAGCGGCCGAUGGCAGAUUAGGUAGUUGGUGGGAUAAAAGCUUACCAAGCCGACGAUCUGUAGCUGGUCUGAGAGGACGAUCAGCCACACUGGGACUGAGACACGGCCCAGACUCCUACGGGAGGCAGCAGUGGGGAAUUUUGGACAAUGGGCGCAAGCCUGAUCCAGCCAUGCCGCGUGCAGGAUGAAGGCCUUCGGGUUGUAAACUGCUUUUGUACGGAACGAAAAGACUCUGGUUAAUACCUGGGGUCCAUGACGGUACCGUAAGAAUAAGCACCGGCUAACUACGUGCCAGCCGCCGCAGUAAGAC
rnacentral:rRNA from 1 species